UACGAAGGGGGCUAGCGUUGCUCGGAAUCACUGGGCGUAAAGGGUGCGUAGGCGGGUCUUUAAGUCAGGGGUGAAAUCCUGGAGCUCAACUCCAGAACUGCCUUUGAUACUGAGGAUCUUGAGUUCGGGAGAGGUGAGUGGAACUGCGAGUGUAGAGGUGAGAUUCGUAGAUAUUCGCAAGAACACCAGUGGCGAAGGCGGCUCACUGGCCCGAUACUGACGCUGAGGCACGAAAGCGUGGGGAGCGAACAGG
rnacentral:rRNA from 1 species